rnacentral:rRNA from 1 species
GAGUAAUGUCUGGGAAACUGCCUGAUGGAGGGGGAUAACUACUGGAAACGGUAGCUAAUACCGCAUAACGUCGCAAGACCAAAGAGGGGGACCUUCGGGCCUCUUGCCAUCGGAUGUGCCCAGAUGGGAUUAGCUAGUAGGUGGGGUAACGGCUCACCUAGGCGACGAUCCCUAGCUGGUCUGAGAGGAUGACCAGCCACACUGGAACUGAGACACGGUCCAGACUCCUACGGGAGGCAGCAGUGGGGAAUAUUGCACAAUGGGCGCAAGCCUGAUGCAGCCAUGCCGCGUGUAUGAAGAAGGCCUUCGGG